ensembl:lncRNA
ACUCUCUAUUGUCUGCAAAUACCUUUGGAAAAGUUCUUACAUUGUUGGAGUUGGCUUUUGUGUAACACGUUGGAAGAUAAGCUAAUGCAGAAGGCACUGGAUUUUUUCCUCUUAGAAGUAGGCAUGACAGCAGCUACAUUCAGGACAGGUACAUCCUGACACACUUCCUGCUGUUGGCUGUAGAAAAUGACUUCAGGAACUGUGGAGACAAGUGUUAUGAUGAAGGUCCUUAGACUCAUUCCUGCCUGCACUGAACACUGAACAUUUCUCUGGGAGCCUCAGAGACAGAGUUAGAGCAGUGAACAGAGAAUGUCUUCCAUUCCUUAAAAGAAAAAUGGACUUAGCAGAGCCACUGUUAGAGUCUGAGAAUCAGCUUGUCAUGGCUCAGAAGCAAAGGGAGAGAUGAAACCAAAGCCUCCUCCAGCAUAUCUCAUCCCAACUCUCAUCUCUCUUCUCAGUAUCAAACUGUAUUGUCUUAAUCUGGAUUUGUGAUUUAUUUGUGAACUAUCUGGCGGGUGGCAGAGGUGGGGAACAAAGCUGCACAAAGCUCCCCAGAGCUGCUGACCGAGGUAAAUAGUGUGUCAUAGCACAUUUAUCAAAUAAUAAUGGAAACCAUAUAAAACAUAUAGGAGAGGGAGGGGGGAAACCCAUUCCCCUCUGGGAAGUUACUGAAUAUUUCAGCCGGUUUAUAAAAGUAUGUGUACGUGUGUUUGCAAUGGGGGAGGUUUUCCUAGCUUCACCUCUGCAAAUAAAUCAUUGGUCUAGGAUGUCUGAGCAGACAAGUGAAAUGGAUGAGCACAUUAUGGAUCAAGGAGGUGGUAUUCCUGCCUUGGUUAGUCUGAGGGAGACCACCCAAGCACUGUGAGACUGUGAUGAGACAGUAAGUUGCGCCUGUGGAGUUCCAAAAUGCUCAAGCUUCAGCCUCUGGCAUGGUAGGAAAGUGGUGAAUAAAAUUAAAGAAAUGGUAUUUCUCAAACAGCUGGCACAACUAGUCAUUUACCUGAACAGGCUUUUUUACUAAUACUUUUUUCCCCCUUUUAUUAUAUUGCUGAUGUAGGUAAAAAUGGAAAAAAAAAAAAGAAGAAAAAAAUGUGUCAAAAGUGUAAUAGUGAUGCCUGUUAUGCCUGUUUUGGAAAUACAUUCCUGUCCAGAUACCAUUAAAAAAGAAAGUAUAUAAAUAUAUGUUAAUGAUAUAUUAUGUAAAUUUUCUGCUGUUUUCCACUAUUGACUUUCAGAAUACAGAAGACAAAGUCUGGUGCUAACACUGAUGUUGAGAAUAAUCUUGUAUCAUAAAUUCUCCAUUGAAAUCAGUUGGAACUACUUAUGGGAAGAGGAAACCUUUCUAUAUCAAAAAGUCUUGUAGAACCCAGCUGAGUGUUUGUUACCCAACAAUGCAGAAUUAAAAAGCAUCUGACAGAGUACAGAACUAUCCUCAUUAAUAUAUGUAUAGAUGCAACUUUAGAAUUCUUUGAGGGCGAAGGAGAUCUAACUUUUGGAAUUACCAUACUUUACAGAAAAACCUGUUACAAUGUAGCAGAUCAACUUUUUCUAUUUACAUAUAUCAGUGGUGAUUGAAGCUUUAUAAAGUUACAUAUAGUACUGAAUUAGAUGAAUUCUGGGUUGUAAGGAAGCCAGUAGGAAUUAAUAAUAUCUUCAUGGAAAAAUAUCUAAAAAAAUUGAGAUUUUCUUUUAUAAGAUUUUACAUUUUAUUUGGAAUUUUAAUUGAGGUAAUGUUGAAAGUUAAUCAAAAUUUUCUUUCUCUUAUAGUAGACAAUUUUGCAUUGCUCUAAAACAAUUUUAAAACCAUUCCUGCAAAAAUACAUUUUAAAAAAUCAUCAUGGGAUGAUUUCCACCCUUGGUUGAUCACCUCUAGUAUGAAUCUAACAGCAGUUUUAGCCAGAUAUUGCCUCUGCAGUGGUGAGUCAGCUGCUGAUUUGGGGCAAGGAUUGGGCCAGGAUUUGUCAGGUGGCAGGGUGAUAAACUCACCUUUGACACCACUCAGUGGAUCCAAGGCCACAGAGCAGCGAUGCUGGUGCUUUUCAGGUGCUCUGCCUCCCACAAGCAAUGUCCCAGCAGAGUGUCAGCUAUGUUCCUGGCGAUGGAAUGUGGGAGGCUGGGUUGCUGAGCUCAUGCCAUCAUUAAAGUGCCUGUAUCACAUUUCUCAGGAAUGGAGAUGUUAACUCCCCACGUUCAGGCCAGAUUUCAUUUUCAGCUCUUAUAUUGUGCCUACCUAAAUCUCCCCCGAAGUUUUGAUUUGAUACAGUACUGACCAUUUGGUGCCUUAAACUGUACCAUGCAGUGUUGCUGCCUGCGCUGUUCAACAUCUGCUUGGCUUCACCUCAAAAGUUGCUGAGUUUGGCUAUUAAAAAAAAAAAAAAGACUCUUCUAGUUUUUUUUCCCACUUUUAAGGGAGCUAACACAAAUGAGCUCUAAACCUUCCUGGGCAGGUGCAG